GCCUUCCGUUGUUCAAUUGGCUAGGACAUCGGAUUGUGGUUCCGACAAUACGGGUUCGAGUCCCGCCGGAGGUA
rnacentral:tRNA from 1 species